UACGGGGGGGGCAAGCGUUGUUCGGAAUUACUGGGCGUAAAGGGCCAGUAGGCGGCCAACUAAGUCCGACGUGAAAUCCCAAGGCUUAACCUUGGAACUGCGUCGGAUACUGGAUGGCUUGAAUUCGGGAGAGGGAUGCAGAAUUCCAGGUGUAGCGGUGAAAUGCGUAGAUAUCUGGAGGAACACCGGUGGCGAAGGCGGCAUCCUCGACCAACACUGACGCUGAGGAGCGAAAGCCAGGGGAGCAAACGGG
rnacentral:rRNA from 1 species